GUCCGUGUAGCUCAGGGGAUAGAGCGACGGUUUCCUAAACCGUAGGUCGUUGGUUCGAAUCCAAUCACGGAUA
rnacentral:tRNA from 1 species